CGGGACGGGGUCGGAGGUAACGGACGGUACGGGCGAACCGUCGACCCGUCGUACAGGGGACGAACACUUAGAAUAGGUGCUAAUACCGCAUAACGGGGGAGCCGCAUGGCACCCCCUGAAAACUCCGGUGGUACAGGAUGGGCCCGCGUCUGAUUAGCUGGUUGGCAGGGUAACGGCCUACCAAGGCGACGAUCAGUAGCCGGCCUGAGAGGGCGGACGGCCACACUGGGACUGAGACACGGCCCAGACUCCUACGGGAGGCAGCAG
rnacentral:rRNA from 1 species